rnacentral:rRNA from 1 species
UACGUAGGGUGCGAGCGUUAAUCGGAAUUACUGGGCGUAAAGCGUGCGCAGGCGGUUCGUUAAGUCUGCUGUGAAAGCCCCGGGCUCAACCUGGGAAUGGCAGUGGAAACUGGCGAGCUGGAGUGUGGCAGAGGGGGGUGGAAUUCCGCGUGUAGCAGUGAAAUGCGUAGAGAUGCGGAGGAACACCGAUGGCGAAGGCAGCCCCCUGGGCCAAUACUGACGCUCAGGCACGAAAGCGUGGGGAGCACACAGG